GGGCCGGUAGCUCAGUAGGUUAGAGCACGGGCCUUUUAAGCCCGGUGUCGAGAGUUCGAGCCUCUCCCGGCUCACCA
rnacentral:tRNA from 1 species